rnacentral:rRNA from 1 species
UUAAGCGACUAAGCGUACACGGUGGAUGCCCUGGCAGUCAGAGGCGAUGAAGGACGUGCUAAUCUGCGAAAAGCGUCGGUAAGGUGAUAUGAACCGUUACAACCGGCGAUGUCCGAAUGGGGAAACCCAGUGCAAUUCGUUGCACUAUCGUUAACUGAAUACAUAGGUUAACGAGGCGAACCGGGGGAACUGAAACAUCUAAGUACCCCGAGGAAAAGAAAUCAACCGAGAUUCCCCCAGUAGCGGCGAGCGAACGGGGAGCAGCCCAGAGUCUGAAUCAGCUUGUGUGUUAGUGGAACGGUCUGGAAAGUCCGACGGUACAGGGUGAUAGUCCCGUACACCAAAAUGCACAGGUUGUGAACUCGAAGAGUAGGGCGGGACACGUGGUAUCCUGUCUGAAUAUGGGGGGACCAUCCUCCAAGGCUAAAUACUCCUGACUGACCGAUAGUGAACCAGUACCGUGAGGGAAAGGCGAAAAGAACCCCGGCGAGGGGAGUGAAAAAGAACCUGAAACCGUGUACGUACAAGCAGUGGGAGCACCUUCGGGUGUGACUGCGUACCUUUUGUAUAAUGGGUCAGCGACUUAUAUUCUGUAGCAAGGUUAACCGUAUAGGGGAGCCGCAGGGAAACCGAGUCUUAACUGGGCGUUAAGUUGCAGGGUAUAGACCCGAAACCCGGUGAUCUAGCCAUGGGCAGGUUGAAGGUUGGGUAACACUAACUGGAGGACCGAACCGACUAAUGUUGAAAAAUUAGCGGAUGACUUGUGGCUGGGGGUGAAAGGCCAAUCAAACCGGGAGAUAGCUGGUUCUCCCCGAAAGCUAUUUAGGUAGCGCCUCGUGAAUUCAUCUUCGGGGGUAGAGCACUGUUUCGGCUAGGGGGUCAUCCCGACUUACCAACCCGAUGCAAACUACGAAUACCGAAGAAUGUUAUCACGGGAGACACACGGCGGGUGCUAACGUCCGUCGUGAAGAGGGAAACAACCCAGACCGCCAGCUAAGGUCCCAAAGUCAUGGUUAAGUGGGAAACGAUGUGGGAAGGCACAGACAGCCAGGAUGUUGGCUUAGAAGCAGCCAUCAUUUAAAGAAAGCGUAAUAGCUCACUGGUCGAGUCGGCCUGCGCGGAAGAUGUAACGGGGCUAAACCAUGCACCGAAGCUGCGGCAGCGACACUAUGUGUUGUUGGGUAGGGGAGCGUUCUGUAAGCCUGCGAAGGUGACCUGUGAGGGUUGCUGGAGGUAUCAGAAGUGCGAAUGCUGACAUAAGUAACGAUAAAGCGGGUGAAAAGCCCGCUCGCCGGAAGACCAAGGGUUCCUGUCCAACGUUAAUCGGGGCAGGGUGAGUCGACCCCUAAGGCGAGGCCGAAAGGCGUAGUCGAUGGGAAACAGGUUAAUAUUCCUGUACUUGGUGUUACUGCGAAGGGGGGACGGAGAAGGCUAUGUUAGCCGGGCGACGGUUGUCCCGGUUUAAGCAUGUAGGCUGGUUGUCCAGGCAAAUCCGGAUAAUCAAGGCUGAGGUGUGAUGACGAGGCACUACGGUGCUGAAGUAACAAAUGCCCUGCUUCCAGGAAAAGCCUCUAAGCAUCAGGUAACAUCAAAUCGUACCCCAAACCGACACAGGUGGUCAGGUAGAGAAUACCAAGGCGCUUGAGAGAACUCGGGUGAAGGAACUAGGCAAAAUGGUGCCGUAACUUCGGGAGAAGGCACGCUGGUGUGUAGGUGAAGUCCCUGCGGAUGGAGCUGAGACCAGUCGAAGAUACCAGCUGGCUGCAACUGUUUAUUAAAAACACAGCACUGUGCAAACACGAAAGUGGACGUAUACGGUGUGACGCCUGCCCGGUGCCGGAAGGUUAAUUGAUGGGGUUAUCCGUAAGGAGAAGCUCUUGAUCGAAGCCCCGGUAAACGGCGGCCGUAACUAUAACGGUCCUAAGGUAGCGAAAUUCCUUGUCGGGUAAGUUCCGACCUGCACGAAUGGCGUAAUGAUGGCCAGGCUGUCUCCACCCGAGACUCAGUGAAAUUGAACUCGCUGUGAAGAUGCAGUGUACCCGCGGCAAGACGGAAAGACCCCGUGAACCUUUACUAUAGCUUGACACUGAACAUUGAGCCUUGAUGUGUAGGAUAGGUGGGAGGCUUUGAAGCGUGGACGCCAGUCUGCGUGGAGCCAACCUUGAAAUACCACCCUUUAAUGUUUGAUGUUCUAACGUUGGCCCCUUACCGGGGUUGCGGACAGUGUCUGGUGGGUAGUUUGACUGGGGCGGUCUCCUCCCAAAGCGUAACGGAGGAGCACGAAGGUUAGCUAAUCCUGGUCGGACAUCAGGAGGUUAGUGCAAUGGCAUAAGCUAGCUUGACUGCGAGCGUGACGGCGCGAGCAGGUGCGAAAGCAGGUCAUAGUGAUCCGGUGGUUCUGAAUGGAAGGGCCAUCGCUCAACGGAUAAAAGGUACUCCGGGGAUAACAGGCUGAUACCGCCCAAGAGUUCAUAUCGACGGCGGUGUUUGGCACCUCGAUGUCGGCUCAUCACAUCCUGGGGCUGAAGUAGGUCCCAAGGGUAUGGCUGUUCGCCAUUUAAAGUGGUACGCGAGCUGGGUUUAGAACGUCGUGAGACAGUUCGGUCCCUAUCUGCCGUGGGCGCUGGAGAAUUGAGGGGGGCUGCUCCUAGUACGAGAGGACCGGAGUGGACGCAUCACUGGUGUUCGGGUUGUCAUGCCAAUGGCACUGCCCGGUAGCUAAAUGCGGAAGAGAUAAGUGCUGAAAGCAUCUAAGCACGAAACUUGCCCCGAGAUGAGUUCUCCCUGAGACUUUAAGUCUCCUGAAGGAACGUUAAAGACGAUGACGUUGAUAGGCCGGGUGUGUAAGCGCAGCGAUGCGUUGAGCUAACCGGUACUAAUGAACCGUGAGGCUUAACCUU